GAUGAACGCUGGCGGCGUGCCUAAUACAUGCCAGUCGAGCGAACAGACGAGGAGCUUGCUCCUCUGACGUUAGCGGCGGACGGGUGAGUAACACGUGGAUAACCUACCUAUAGACUGGGAUAACUUCGGGAAACCGGAGCUAAUACCGGAUAAUAUAUUGAACCGCAUGGUUCAAUAGUGAAAGACGGUUUUGCUGUCACUUAUAGAUGGAUCCGCGCCGCAUUAGCUAGUUGGUAAGGUAACGGCUUACCAAGGCAACGAUGCGUAGCCGACCUGAGAGGGUGAUCGGCCACACUGGAACUGAGACACGGUCCAGACUCCUACGGGAGGCAGCAGUAGGGAAUCUUCCGCAAUGGGCGAAAGCCUGACGGAGCAACGCCGCGUGAGUGAUGAAGGUCUUCGGAUCGUAAAACUCUGUUAUUAGGGAAGAACAAAUGUGUAAGUAACUAUGCACGUCUUGACGGUACCUAAUCAGAAAGCCACGGCUAACUACGUG
rnacentral:rRNA from 1 species